rnacentral:rRNA from 1 species
UACGUAGGGCGCAAGCGUUGUCCGGAAUUAUUGGGCGUAAAGAGCUCGUAGGCGGCUUGUCACGUCGGGUGUGAAAGCCCGGGGCUUAACCCCGGGUCUGCAUUCGAUACGGGCUAGCUAGAGUGUGGUAGGGGAGAUCGGAAUUCCUGGUGUAGCGGUGAAAUGCGCAGAUAUCAGGAGGAACACCGGUGGCGAAGGCGGAUCUCUGGGCCAUUACUGACGCUGGGGAGCGAAAGCGUGGGGAGCGAACAGG